GACGUAGGGCGCGAGCGUUGUCCGGAUUUAUUGGGCGUAAAGAGCUCGUAGGCGGCUUGUCGCGUCGUCUGUGAAAUCCCGCGGCUCAACCGCGGGUCUGCAGUCGAUACGGGCAGGCUAGAGUUCGGUAGGGGAGAGUGGAAUUCCUGGUGUAGCGGUGAAAUGCGCAGAUAUCAGGAAGAACACCCGUGGCGAGGGCGGCUCUCUGGGACGGUACUGACGCUGAGACGCGAAAGCGUGGGGAGCGAACAGG
rnacentral:rRNA from 1 species